UACGUAGGGUGCAAGCGUUAUCCGGAAUUAUUGGGCGUAAAGAGCUCGUAGGCGGUUUGUCGCGUCUGCUGUGAAAACUGGAGGCUCAACCUCCAGCUUGCAGUGGGUACGGGCAGACUAGAGUGCGGUAGGGGAGACUGGAAUUCCUGGUGUAGCGGUGAAAUGCGCAGAUAUCAGGAGGAACACCGGUGGCGAAGGCGGGUCUCUGGGGCAACAACUGACGCUGAGGAGCGAAAGCCGUGGGGGAGCGAACAGG
rnacentral:rRNA from 1 species